GUUUCCUCCUUGGCUUGGUACUCACGCCAAUUACUAUAAGGAACUUGCAACAACUCACUGGAAGGAGCAUGGACAACCUGUACUAGAUGUCUUACCUCAAAAGGUAUCAGAGAAAUCGAUUCAAGCACAACAAUUUAUGGAACCACAUUUUGAAUCUUCCAAAGCUAAAUGGAUGUUUCUUGUGUCAAGCACUGAACCUUAUGUGCAAACUGUGUCAAGUAAAGCAGUGGAAGUUUAUAACACAUCUAAGAGUGCCAUGUCCAGCCACAUAGCCAAUGUACAAGAAAUUUCAGAUCCUUA